AGCGUAGGCGGAUCUUUAAGUGGGAUGUGAAAUACUCGGGCUCAACCUGGGGGGCUGCAUUCCAAACUGGAGAUCUAGAGUGCAGGAGAGGAAAGUGGAAUUCCUAGUGUAGCGGUGAAAUGCGUAGAGAUUAGGAAGAACACCAGUGGCGAAGGCGACUUUCUGGACUGUAACUGACGCUGAGGCUCGAAAGCGUGGGGAGCAAACA
rnacentral:rRNA from 1 species